rnacentral:lncRNA from 1 species
CGCCGUCAGCCGCUGCCUGCCGCUGCGCCCGCCGCGCAGACCGCGUUCCCGCCCGGCGGAGCUGGGAGCUGCAGGCCGCCCUGGACUCCCGCAGCCACGGCUCUGCCGCCGGGCGGCAGUUCUUAGCAGCCGCCCUGUGCGGCGUGCUCCUCCGGGCAGGGCUGUCCGCAUGCUUCCUUCGCCGACUCAUUCCCGUGCCACCGUCCUUCAGCUGCAUUCACAUUUUGCUACAGCGGAGCAGGGCAACUGCUCGACAGAGAGCCCGCGCGCCACCGUGCAGCGCCAUCUUUGCAAGUCGGGCGCGCAAAAUACGCUGCUUCUAAUUGGCUGCCUCCGUCUAGGGGCGGGUUACUACGCAUGGUGCGGAUUGGCUGCGUCAGUGUGAGGGGCGGGGUUAGAAGGCUGCGGCCAGGGCUGAGGAAACAGGAGUUUUCUGAGGUCUACCAUCAGACUCGUCCAACUUAGCAGGAACUGCAGGACCCUUUUCUGGAUCUGUGACAGGAACUUGGGUUUCUAUUGCUGUGAUAUGACCAAAAGCAGCUUGGGAAGAGUUUGUCUCAUCUUGUUCUUCAACAUCACAGUCUGUCAAAGGAAGUGAAGGCAAGAACUUGGAGGUAGGAGCUGUAUGCUGCUUCC